AUACGUAGGGUGCGAGCGUUGUCCGGAAUUACUGGGCGUAAAGAGCUCGUAGGUGGUUUGUCGCGUCGUCUGUGAAAUUCCGGGGCUUAACUCCGGGCGUGCAGGCGAUACGGGCAUAACUUGAGUACUGUAGGGGAGACUGGAAUUCCUGGUGUAGCGGUGAAAUGCGCAGAUAUGAGUAGGAACCCCGGUGGCGAAGGCGGGCCCCUGGGCAGUAACUGACGUUGAGGAGCGAAAGCCUGGGUAGCGAACAGAAUUAGAUACCCGGGUAGUCCAGGCCGUAAACGGUGCGCCCUAGGUGUAGGGGUCUUCCACUACGUUUGUGCCGUAGCUAACGCAUAAAGCGCCCCGCCUGGGGAGUACGGCCGCAAGGCGAAAACUCAAAGGAAUUGACGGGG
rnacentral:rRNA from 1 species